rnacentral:rRNA from 1 species
CCCUUAGAUGUCCUGGGCCGCACGCGCGCUACACUGAACGGAUCAGCGCGUUUUCCCUUCCCGAGAGGGACGGGUAACCUGCUGAACCCCGUUCGUGGUAGGGAUCGGGGCUUGCAAUUAUUCCCCGUGAACCAGGAAUGCCCAGUAAGUGCAAGUCAUAAGCUUGCGUUGAUUACGUCCCUGCCCUUUGUACACACCGCCCGUCGCUACUACCGAUUGAACGUUUUAGUGAGGUACUCGGACUGAGCCUCAGAAGAUUCACGUCUUUUGUGCUGCUCGGGAAGGUUCCCAAACUUGAGCGUUUAGAGGAAGUAAAAGUCGUAACA